rnacentral:rRNA from 1 species
AAUUUUGGACAAUGGGGGGAACCCUGAUCCAGCCAUCCCGCGUGUGUGAUGAAGGCCUUCGGGUUGUAAAGCACUUUUGACAGGGAAGAAACAACACUGGCUAAUACCUAGGGACAAUGACCGCACCUGUAGAAUAAGAACCGGCUAACUACGUGCCAGCAGCCGCGGUAAUACGUAGGUUGCGAGCGUUAAUCGGAAUUACUGGGCGUAAAGGGUACACAAGCGGGUAGGAAAUAAAGAUAGGAAAUCCCAGGGCUCAACCUUGGAACUGCAUUCUUAACUGCCUAACUAGAGUAUGUCAGAGGGGGGUAGAAUUCCACGUGUAGCAGUGAAAUGCGUAGAUAUGUGGAGGAAUACCGAUAGCGAAGGCAGCCCCCUGGGAUAAUACUGACGCUCAGGUACGAAAGCGUGGGGAGCAAACAG